GCCCUACGGGACGCAGCAGUGGGGAAUAUUGGGCAAUGGACGCAAGUCUGACCCAGCAACGCCGCGUGAAGGAAGAAGGCUUUCGGGUUGUAAACUUCUUUUAAGGGGGAAGAGCAGAAGACGGUACCCCUUGAAUAAGCCACGGCUAACUACGUGCCAGCAGCCGCGGUAAUACGUAGGUGGCAAGCGUUGUCCGGAUUUACUGGGUGUAAAGGGCGUGCAGCCGGAGAGGCAAGUCAGAUGUGAAAGCCCGGGGCCCAACCCCGGUACUGCAUUUGAAACUGUCCGGCUGGAGUGCAGGAGAG
rnacentral:rRNA from 1 species